rnacentral:rRNA from 1 species
CCUACGGGGGGCUGCAGUGAGGAAUAUUGGUCAAUGGGCUUACGCCUGAACCAGCCAAGUCGCGUGAGGGAAGACUGCCCUAUGGGUUGUAAACUUCUUUUGUCAAGGAGCAACGCCGGCUACGUGUAGUCAGACUGAGAGUACCUGAAGAAAAAGCAUCGGCCAACUCCGUGCCAGCAGCCGGGGUCAUACGUGGGAUGCGAGCGUUAUCGGGGUUUAUUGGGUUUAAAGGGUGCGUAGGCGGAUGGCAAAUUCAGUGGUAAAUUCGCGGGGUUAAACCUGGCUCCGCCGUUGAAACUGGCGUUCUUGAGUGGGCAAGAGGUAUGCGGAAUGCGUGGUGUAGCGGUGAAAUGCGUAGAGAUCACGCAGAACACCGAUUGCGAAGGCAGCAUACCGGCGCCCAACUGACGCUGAAGCACGAAAGCGUGGGUAUCGAACAGGAUUAGAUACCCCUGUAGUC